GUUUAGCUCAGUUGGUAGAGCACUCUUCUGAAAAUGAAGAGGUCCCGGGUUCGAUACCCGGACUAGACG
rnacentral:tRNA from 1 species